rnacentral:rRNA from 1 species
GAUGAACGCUGGCGGCGUGCCUAAUACAUGCAAGUCGAGCGAAGCGGGGACGGGUGAGUAACACGUGGAUAACCUCCUAUAAGACUGGGAUAACUUCGGGAAACCGGAGCUAAACCGGAAACUUAUAGAUGGAUGCGCGCUGCAUUAGCUAGUUGGUAAGGUAACGGCUUACCAAGGCAACGAUGCAUAGCCGACCUGAGAGGGUGUUCGGCCACCCUGGAACGGAGCACCGGUCCAGCUUCCUACGGGAGGCAGCAGUAGGGAUCCUUCCCCAUUGGGCGAAAGCCUGACGGACAAACGCCGCGUGAGUGAUGAAGGUCUUCGGAUCGUAAACCUCUGUUAUUAGGGAAGCGGUACCUAACCAGAAAGCCACGGCUAACUACGUGCCAGCAGCCGCGGUAAUUC